AAAAAAAACUAACACACUGAUGAGUUAUUAAAAAUACGAAAUUCCUUGUGCAACCUGAUAACGGCAGAGAGCAAAAUGGGAGAAAUUUAAUCUUCAACGAUGACACAAAGUAGUGCUCGAAGAUUAUCUCAUGUCCACAUUAAUAGAAGACCAUUGACUCAUUGAACAAUUAUGUUCCAGCUACUUCUUCCUUCUAAAUCCCUCACGUUUAUUCCUAGGCUUACACGUUGUACUUGUUCUCAGAUUAAAGGCCAUCCAUCUCCAUUAACC